UCCUUUUGAUAAUAAUUUAAGGUCUAGCCUGCCCAAUGAAAUUUUAAAUGGCCGCAGUAUUUUGACUGUGCAAAGGUAGCAUAAUAAUUAGUUUUUUAAUUGAAAGCUUGUAUGAAUGGUUGAAUAAGAAAAUUACUGUCUUAAUUUAAAUUUAUUAGAAUUUUAUUUUUAAGUUAAAAAGCUUAAAUUUUAUUAAAAGACGAGAAGACCCUAUAGAGUUUAAUAGAAAAAUUUAUAUUAUAAUUUAAGGAUUAAAUUUAUUUUAUGAAUUUUUUAUUUUGUUGGGGUGAUUGAAAAAUUUAAUUAACUUUUUUUAUAUAAAUUCAUUGAUUUAUGUUUUAUUGAUCCAUUAUUUAUGAUUAAAAGAAUAAAUUACCUUAGGGAUAACAGCGUAAUUUUUUUUGAGAGAACUUAUCGAAAAAAAAGAUUGCGACCUCGAUGUUGGAUUAAAGUUAAUUUAAGGUGUAGAAGCUUUAAUAUUGAGUCUGUUCGACUUUUAAAUCUUUACA
rnacentral:rRNA from 1 species